rfam:TPA: Bos taurus chromosome 9, whole genome shotgun sequence.
UCCCUGGUGGCUCAAACAGUAAAGAAUCUGCCUGCAAUGCAGAAGACCCAGGUUCGAUCCCUAGGCUGGGAA